rnacentral:rRNA from 1 species
UACGGAGGGAGCUAGCGUUGUUCGGAAUUACUGGGCGUAAAGCGCACGUAGGCGGCGAUUCAAGUCAGAGGUGAAAGCCCGGGGCUCAACUCCGGAACUGCCUUUGAAACUAGAUUGCUAGAAUCUUGGAGAGGCGAGUGGAAUUCCGAGUGUAGAGGUGAAAUGCGUAGAUAUCGAGAGGAACACCUGCGGCGAAGGCGGGUUGCUGGGCUGACACUGACGCUGAUGCGCGAAAGCUAGGGGAGCGAACGGG